rnacentral:lncRNA from 1 species
GGAAAGUGCACUUUUUAUGCUAUUGCGUACUUUUCAAAUAAACUGCACCUUUUCCAUAUAUCAUACAUGUAAAGUGCCUAUUUGUGUAAAAGUGUUACAAGAAGCAAAAAAGAACUACAAUAAUAAGGCUUAAACAAAGUAGGAAUGCAGCUUCAGGCAGCAAACAGGCUAAGGGAUUGAGAGAUGAUGACUACGAAAGCCAAACAUAGCUCAGGACCACGAGCAUCAAAGAGAAAUGAAACAGCAUGAGUCCAUACCAAUCAUUAACUAUUAACUUGAUAGGCUUCCAACCCACUAAUAUGAUGUAAAUGAUGUUUAACAAGCUUAUCUAAGAGGAAUAACAAAACCGAUUGAUCAGAAGUCCCCAAAAUACAGAGAUUACAAAGAUAAAAAUGAGGAACAAAUGAAAUAUAAGAUAAGGAUCUACGACAUUUUCUCAGAUCCUUCUCUCACCAUGCAACCUCAAAGCGGCUAAUUCCUUGAUUAUCAACAUGCCUCUCUAUUCUUCAUAAACUCUUAUUUAUAGCCUAAACUACCUUCUAGGUUCUUCUUAGCCUCCUAAGCAACUUGCAUCCUCUCUCACGUGUGAAGUUUGUUGCACAUGAUC